rnacentral:rRNA from 1 species
CAGUAGCCGCGGUAAUACGGAGGGUGCAAGCGUUAAUCGGAAUUACUGGGCGUAAAGCGUGCGUAGGCGGUUUGUUAAGUCUGCUGUGAAAUCCCCGGGCUCAACCUGGGAAUGGCAGUGGAUACUGGCAAGCUAGAGUGUGUCAGAGGAUGGUGGAAUUCCCGGUGUAGCGGUGAAAUGCGUAGAGAUCGGGAGGAACAUCAGUGGCGAAGGCGGCCAUCUGGGACAACACUGACGCUGAGGCACGAAAGCGUGGGGAGCAAACAGGAUUAGAUACCCCAGUAGUCCCUGUCUCUUAUAC